rnacentral:rRNA from 1 species
GACAGAGGGUGCAAACGUUGUUCGGAAUUACUGGGCGUAAAGCGCGUGUAGGCGGCCAUGCAAGUCGGAUGUGAAAGCCCUCGGCUCAACCGGGGAAGUGCACUCGAAACUGCAAGGCUAGAGUCUCGGAGAGGAUCGUGGAAUUCUCGGUGUAGAGGUGAAAUUCGUAGAUAUCGAGAGGAACACCGGUGCGAAGGCGGCGAUCUGGACGAUGACUGACGCUGAGACGCGAAAAGCGUGGGGGAGCAAACAGG